rnacentral:tRNA from 1 species
GGGGAUGUAGCUCAGUGGUAGAGUACUUAUCUAGUAUGCAAGAGGCCCUAGGUUCUAUCCCCA